CCUACGGGAUGCAGCAGUGGGGAAUAUUGCACAAUGGGGGAAACUCUGAUGCAGCAACGCCGCGUGGAGGAUGACGCAUUUCGGUGUGUAAACUCCUUUUAUAUAGGAAGAUAAUGACGGUACUAUAUGAAUAAGCACCGGCUAACUCCGUGCCAGCAGCCGCGGUAAUACGGAGGGUGCAAGCGUUACUCGGAAUCACUGGGCGUAAAGCGCGCGCAGGCGGUUUGAUAAGUUGGAUGUGAAAGCCUACGGCUCAACCGUAGAACCGCAUCCAAAACUGUCAAACUAGAGUGUGGGAGAGGAAGAUGGAAUUAGUUGUGUAGGGGUAAAAUCCGUAGAGAUAACUAGGAAUACCAAAAGCGAAGGCAAUCUUCUGGGACAUUACUGACGCUGAGGCGCGACAGCGUGGGGAGCAAACAGGAUUAGAUACCCGUGUAGUC
rnacentral:rRNA from 1 species